rnacentral:rRNA from 1 species
UACGUAGGGGGCAAGCGUUGUCCGGAUUUAUUGGGCGUAAAGAGCGUGUAGGCGGCCAUACAGGUCAGCUGUGAAAACUCGAGGCUCAACCUCGAGACGUCGGUUGAAACCGUUUGGCUAGAGUCCGGAAGAGGAGAGUGGAAUUCCCGGUGUAGCGGUGAAAUGCGCAGAUAUCAGGAGGAACACCGAUGGCGAAGGCAGGUCUCUGGGCCACUACUGACGCUGAGAAGCGAAAGCAUGGGGAGCGAACAGG